CUACGGACUUGAUUGUAUUGAGCCUUGGUAUGGAAACCUGCUAAGUGGUAACUUCCAAAUUCAGAGAAACCCUGGAAUUAAAAAAGGGCAAUCCUGAGCCAAAUCCGUGUUUUGAGAAGGGAUUCUCGAACUAGAAUACAAAGG
rnacentral:ribozyme from 1 species